UACGGGGGGAGCAAGCGUUGUUCGGAUUUACUGGGCGUAAAGGGCGCGUAGGCGGUCAGCACAAGUCAGUUGUGAAAUCUCCGGGCUUAACUCGGAAAGGUCAACUGAUACUGUGCGACUAGAGUGCAGAAGGGGCAACUGGAAUUCUCGGUGUAGCGGUGAAAUGCGUAGAUAUCGAGAGGAACACCUGCGGCGAAGGCGGGUUGCUGGGCUGACACUGACGCUGAUGAGCGAAAGCCAGGGGAGCAAACGGG
rnacentral:rRNA from 1 species